rnacentral:rRNA from 1 species
GAUGAACGCUGGCGGCGUGCCUAAUACAUGCAAGUCGAGCGAACGGACGAGAAGCUUGCUUCUCUGAUGUUAGCGGCGGACGGGUGAGCAACACGUGGAUAACCUACCUAUAAGACUGGGAUAACUUCGGGAAACCGGAGCUAAUACCGGAUAAUAUUUUGAACCGCAUGGUUCAAAAGUGAAAGACGGUCUUGCUGUCACUUAUAGAUGGAUCCGCGCUGCAUUAGCUAGUUGGUAAGGUAACGGCUUACCAAGGCAACGAUGCAUAGCCGACCUGAGAGGGUGAUCGGCCACACUGGAACUGAGACACGGUCCAGACUCCUACGGGAGGCAGCAGUAGGGAAUCUUCCGCAAUGGGCGAAAGCCUGACGGAGCAACGCCGCGUGAGUGAUGAAGGUCUUCGGAUCGUAAAACUCUGUUAUUAGGGAAGAACAUAUGUGUAAGUAACUGUGCACAUCUUGACGGUACCUAAUCAGAAAGCCACGGCUAACUACGUGCCAGCAGCCGCGGUAAUACGUAAGUGGGAAGCGUUAUCCCGGAAUUAUUGGGCGUUAAGCCCGCGUAGGCGGUUUUUUAGUCUGAUGUGAAAGCCCACGGCUCAACCGUGGAGGGUCAUUGGAAACUGGAAAACUUGAGUGCAGAAGAGGAAAGUGGAAUUCCAUGUGUAGCGGUGAAAUGCGCAGAGAUAUGGAGGAACACCAGUGGCGAAGGCGACUUUCUGGUCUGUAACUGACGCUGAUGUGCGAAAGCGUGGGGAUCAAACAGGAUUAGAUACCCUGGUAGUCCACGCCGUAAACGAUGAGUGCUAAGUGUUAGGGGGUUUCCGCCCCUUAGUGCUGCAGCUAACGCAUUAAGCACUCCGCCUGGGGAGUACGACCGCAAGGUUGAAACUCAAAGGAAUUGACGGGGACCCGCACAAGCGGUGGAGCAUGUGGUUUAAUUCGAAGCAACGCGAAGAACCUUACCAAAUCUUGACAUCCUUUGACAACUCUAGAGAUAGAGCCUUCCCCUUCGGGGGACAAAGUGACAGGUGGUGCAUGGUUGUCGUCAGCUCGUGUCGUGAGAUGUUGGGUUAAGUCCCGCAACGAGCGCAACCCUUAAGCUUAGUUGCCAUCAUUAAGUUGGGCACUCUAAGUUGACUGCCGGUGACAAACCGGAGGAAGGUGGGGAUGACGUCAAAUCAUCAUGCCCCUUAUGAUUUGGGCUACACACGUGCUACAAUGGACAAUACAAAGGGUAGCGAAACCGCGAGGUCAAGCAAAUCCCAUAAAGUUGUUCUCAGUUCGGAUUGUAGUCUGCAACUCGACUACAUGAAGCUGGAAUCGCUAGUAAUCGUAGAUCAGCAUGCUACGGUGAAUACGUUCCCGGGUCU